AGUGAACGCUGGCGGUAGGCCUAACACAUGCAAGUCGAACGGCAGCACAGUAAGAGCUUGCUCUUACGGGUGGCGAGUGGCGGACGGGUGAGGAAUACAUCGGAAUCUACUUUUUCGUGGGGGAUAACGUAGGGAAACUUACGCUAAUACCGCAUACGACCUACGGGUGAAAGCAGGGGAUCUUCGGACCUUGCGCGAUUGAAUGAGCCGAUGUCGGAUUAGCUAGUUGGCGGGGUAAAGGCCCACCAAGGCGACGAUCCGGAGCUGGUCUGAGAGGAUGAUCAGCCACACUGGAACUGAGACACGGUCCAGACUCCUAGGGGAAGCAGCAGUGGGGAAAAUUGGACAAGGGGCGCAAGCCAGAGCCAGCCAUACCGCGUGGGUAAAGAAGGCCUUCGGGUUGUAAAGCCCUUUUGUUGGGAAAGAAAAGCAGCAGGUUAAUACCCCGCUGUGCUGACGGUACCCAAAGAAUAAGCACCGGCUAACUUCGUG
rnacentral:rRNA from 1 species